UCAUGUCGAUUCGGAUUUUUCAUCCUGUGACAUGAUUGAGCGACUGAAGGAACAAAAAUGCAUGCGACUCACCAUUAGAUACGAAGAAUCUACGUUGCCAUUAAUGCAUCGUGAAAAUUGUUGUCAGUUGUCAAGAUCGUGAAAAAAAUACCUUUGCAUGGAUGAUCGUUUUAACCUCUUGAGAGAAACACUAACUAGAUUAUACAUAUACAUACUCAAAACAUUAAAAAAAAAAAAAUUAAUCAAUGGGUACAAAUAACAAUCACUGACUCUAACUUUACGUAUCCUCUAAAGAAUUAAAAAUACUACGUAACAAAUAGAGAACAUAUGCACACGGUACAUCAUGGCGUCUAUAUAUUGAAAAUUUUCCCGCACUCGAAUUCAUCAGCAAUCAGCUAAUAAUCUGUACAAAA